GUGUUCCAGAGCGGCGUGUCGGACUCGGUUCCUGCAGGAGCGUCAGUGACUCUGCAGUGCUCGGUUCUCUCUGAGAGCAGAUCAGCAGAACUCCAAGUGCUCUGGUUCAGAGCUGCUCCACCACAAUCCCGUCCUCAAAUCAUUUACACUCAUCACAACAGCAGCCGUCAGUGUGAGAGCGGCUCUUCUACACACACCUGUGUGUACAACUUCUCCAAGAACAUCCUCAGCCUCAAUGAUACUGGAACUUACUACUGCGCUGUGGCCGUGUGUGGGAAGAUCAUUUUUGGGAACGGGACACGAGUACAGUUGGGUAAGAACACAUUCAUUGACUCAAAGUAUGCAUAAUAUAUUAAAAUUUAAAAUUGGUUUAAUUUUUUUUUUUUUUAAAUGUAGACAUGUAGAUUGCUAACAUGAUCAUCAAUAUAAUCACAGGGAGUUCUAGAUAUUAUUUGCUAUUCACAUGAAAUUAUAUGUGAUAAAGUACAUGUUCAUUGUUAUGACUUGUGUGUGUGUGUGUGUGUGUGUGUGUGUGUGUGUGUGUGUGUGUGUGUGUGUGCUACAGAAGAAUCUGUGGAUCCUGUAGUGAUCUUUCUCGCUGUCUCUUUGGGAGUGUGUGUGGUUGUGAUCUUUACUCAUGCUGUAACGUGUAAAGGGAGAAACUGUGAAUGUUGCACUGGGAAAACUCAAGAUUCUACGGUAAAGAAAACACCAAAUCAGAGCCGUGAUGCAGUGGAGCUGAAUUUUGCUGCCUUACACGUCAAUAAAAGAAGAGGAAAGAGAGAACGAGCUUGUGAUAAUGUGUAUACUGAAGUCAUUUACUCUUCUGUUUCUUAGAUAUUAGAUGUCAUUGAUUUUCUCAUGUUAAUUACUCUCAUGGUCAUAAUGUUCAUUAACUGGUGAUGAAUGAAUGAAUGAAUGAAUAAAUAAAUAAAUAAAUAAAUAAAGUAAUUAAUACAUGCAUUUGUGGUCGAGUUCACCCAAGCGUUAUGAGAAUAAAAAUGUGGGUUUUUUAAAAAUUAUUUUUCCCCUUUUCUUUUCUUCUUUUCUGACACGCUGAAGCUGCUCCUACUGUACUGCAAACUGUAUGUAUUGCUUUGAGCUUCUUUGUGAGUGGUACAUAUUUGAAUGCGGUGACAUUAUUCCUCUCCAAAUAUGUUUUCACAAAUUGAUAUUUACAUGCAUAACCCAGACGUUCCCUUUCAAAGGGAACUCCACGUUGCGUUUAGCAUAACACUAUGGGAACGAGAAUACCCACUCCGUCAUACUGAGGGUACGGCCUGUUCAAAAAGACCCAAACCCAAGGGUUACUGCAAGACACUCGAGCCCGGGGUGGAAUGAAUAUCCAGGCUGUAAUAUCAAAUGAAUGUGUGUGGUGUAGACCACCCUGCAGCAGCACACACAUCCUGUAAGGAUACCCCUUUGGACAAAGUCUUCGAGGAGGCGACCGUCCUAGUGAGCCCUUAUGCCCAGAGGUGUAGUGAGACCGUGCGCCUCAAAAGCAAUAGAGAUUGCAUCCACUAUCCAAUUAGAGAUGUGCUGCUUUGACACAGCAUCACCUCUACUGAUGCAGACCAGCAGCUGCUCUGACUUACGCCACUGGCCGGAGCGGUGGACGUAAGUACAGAGAGUCCUUACUGGACACAGCAGGUGCAUUCUCUCUUGUUCCGGUGUGGGGAACAGAGGAGGGCAGAAAGCCUGCAACACCACAGGGUGGGCAGCCGAUGUAGGCACUUUAGGAAUAUAAUCCGGACUAGGAUACAGGAAGAUGUUGGUUAAUCCAGGGGCAAAGUCAAAGCAGGAAUGGGCAACAGAGAGCUUGUAGAUCUCCUACUCGCUUGAAAGAUGUCAGGGCCAGCAGAAGAGCUACCUUUAGAGUCAGAAGCUUCUCAGAGGCUGACUCUAAGGGCUCAGAUGGGGCCCCUGACAGACCUUCCAGGACCACAGAAAGGUCCCAGGAAGGUAUGCGCGGCCUGCAGAUGGGCCUCAGCCACACGACACCACGCAUGAACCUCGAAGUUAGAGGAUGUUGCCCCACAGAGGCUGCAUCAACAGGGGCGUGGCUGGCCGAAAUGGCGACUAU